AGGACACCAUAUUGUUUUCUAUCAAUUUGAUUCAAACUGUGUGCUGGGGGAGAGUUUGGAAUUCUCAGGAAUAAGAGCUUGUAGGGCAUGUUAAACACCACAGGUGCAAUAUACAGGCACACUGUUCUGCUUGGAAGGGACAGUAACACCACUAGGAUUUAAGGGGAAAAUGUGAACCUAUGAAAGUUGUCAUACUGACAUUUUCUGCAGUGGUAAGAAAGCCAACAUAAAGUGCUGUUGUAAUUCCACACUGGGAGCAAUAUAUUAUGACUCAUAUCAGGUUUUCAAAGUAACCCAUCAGAGGAUAGAUCUGAGGCAGAAAUCAGAGCUCCAUGUCACACAUUGUGUCACUGGCAGAGUUGAGAAGUGAACCCUUGUCUCAAGUCCUUUGUUUAGUCUAACCUCUAUCCCACAAUAUAUACCAGGUGUGAGUGCGUCAAUGUCCCCUACAACCUAAGGUCAAUGCAACUUUUCUCAUUUCUGGUGCAGAACUCCCAUUGACAGAAUGUAAGCAGGAACUGUCUUCUACUGUAUGUUUGAAUAGUCCCCAGAAUAGUGGGCCCACAAUUUAGGUUGGGGUCUCCAGGUUGGGUGCUACCAUAGUACAUAUAAUUUGAUAAGAGUUGGGUGUGCAGAUGGAGGGCAGUGCAUGGCCAUUAAUGUUUGGAUGUUUUUAAAUCCCAUUCUGUAU